rnacentral:rRNA from 1 species
ACGAAGGGUGCAAGCGUUACUCGGAAUUACUGGGCGUAAAGCGUGCGUAGGUGGUUCGUUAAGUCUGAUGUGAAAGCCCUGGGCUCAACCUGGGAAUGGCAUUGGAUACUGGCGACCUAGAGUGCGGUAGAGGGUAGCGGAAUUCCCGGUGUAGCAGUGAAAUGCGUAGAUAUCGGGAGGAACAUCCGUGGCGAAGGCGGCUACCUGGACCAGCACUGACACUGAGGCACGAAAGCGUGGGGAGCAAACAGGA